CGACAUGCGACGGCGACCUUCCGGCGCUCGGCCGCGGCCUGGAGCUACAACAUUACGCUCCUCCCGGGCGACGGCAUCGGGCCGGAGGUGGUCGGCGUCGCCAAGGACGUCCUCUCCGCCGCCGGCGCCAAGGAAGGCGUGGAGCUCCGCUUCCGGGAGAUGCUGAUGGGUGGCGCGGCGCUGGACGCCGUCGGGGUGUCGCUCCCCGACGAGACGCUCGCGGCGGCGCGGGCCUCCGACGCCAUCCUUCUCGGCGCGAUAGGAGGGUAUAAGUGGGACAGCAAUGAGAAGCAUCUCAAGCCUGAGACCGGGCUGCUCAACAUCCGUGCCGGGCUCGGCGUGUUCGCCAAUCUGCGGCCAGCCACGGUGUUGCCGCAGUUAGUAGAUGCAUCUACUUUGAAGAAAGAGGUGGCUGAAGGAGUGGACAUCAUGGUUGUUAGAGAGCUUACUGGAGGGAUUUACUUCGGACAACCUAGGGGUUUUGGUACCAAUGACGAGGGAGAGGAAAUUGGCUUCAACACUGAAAUAUAUUCAGUUUCUGAGGUAAUGCACUGUUCCUCAGACAUUUCACUGUUUUUUCAAUGUAUGAACCCUCUGCUCAGUUAA
rnacentral:rRNA from 1 species